GUAAACGCUGAUGAUCUUCUGCCUAUGCCGCGGCUAACCAAACCACUAACGUCAUUGUAUUUUUUCUUUUUUUUAAAAAUCCAAAUAGUGAGACAACGACAGCGUGUGAGCGGUCGUCAUGUUUUUCUAACCUAACGCCGCCUUCCUAAUAGCAAAUGUCCUCCAGGUCACAUUCGGUCAUGUUCGAUGACCGCGACGAGGCACACUUUCUACCCGUGGCGGAGGGCAUCGGGAUGCGGGUCACCUGUGUACGCUCUUCUCACCUCUGACCCAGGACAUCGUUGACAGACACCACAACGAAGGCCUCGUGCUGUCACAGGACCGCUCGGAGGCAACGAGAGCCGCGUCAGCAUGAUGCGGCGACAGCAGCUUACGCGCAAAGGGCCGCCUUGAAUGGAUGCUCUUAUUCAUCUAAGGCGCACGCCGGAAGGAUUUCGUGGAGACGUGGUAGGUGCAACUCGUGCCGUUGUCCCAGCUUGCGGCCACACGGACCGAAAGCUCGUUGGGAAUGGGUGACGGCCAUGUGUCGGGGGGGUCAGACCCUUGUUGACCGUGUCUUGAAGUAGCGCGUUCAUUAGAGAAGAACACAGAUGGAAUCCAGAUGCGCGUCAUGGCUGGCCAUGGAUAUUGUACGAUGUGCGUGGAUGUGAAUGAGCACCAAAAGCAGCAGUAAUAGUCAGCGAUGUUGUUUGGCAACCGUA